AGCCUACGGGAGGCAGCAGUGGGGAAUAUUGCACAAUGGGGGAAACCCUGAUGCAGCGACGCCGCGUGAGUGAAGAAGUAUUUCGGUAUGUAAAGCUCUAUCAGCAGGGAAGAAAAUGACGGUACCUGACUAAGAAGCCCCGGCUAACUACGUGCCAGCAGCCGCGGUAAUACGUAGGGGGCAAGCGUUAUCCGGAUUUACUGGGUGUAAAGGGAGCGUAGACGGCUGUGCAAGUCUGAAGUGAAGGCCCGUGGCUCAACCGCGGAACUGCUUUGGAAACUGUAUAGCUUGCGUACUGGAGAGGG
rnacentral:rRNA from 1 species